rnacentral:misc_RNA from 1 species
UACGAACUGCGCAAACGUUAUUCGGAAUAAUUGGGCUUAAAGGGUGCGUAGGCGGCCCGGAAGGUGGAGUGUGAAAGCCCUCGGCUCAACCGAGGAACUGCGCUCCAAACCGCUGGGCUCGAGCCAGACAGAGGUGAGCGGAACUCACAGUGGAGCGGUGAAAUGCGUUGAUACUGUGGGGAACACCGGUGGCGAAAGCGGCUCACUGGGUCUCGGCUGACGCUGAGGCACGAAAGCUAGGGUAGCGAACGGG